rnacentral:lncRNA from 1 species
UUGGGCUUCGCCUAGCGAAGAAUUUGCUCGCCUAGCGAGCAUGACAGUUCAGACUCUGGUGGCUCGCUAGGCGAACCAUUAUGCUCGCCUAGCGAGCAUGACAGUUCAAGUCAUCUUUCCAAAUUUGUAACCUGUGCGUUAGACCUUUGUUCCUUCAAGAGUAAUAUGUUGAAUGAUGAAUAGGCCUCAUUUGAACAUGUUGGAAGUAAC